rnacentral:lncRNA from 1 species
AUGGCUUGAUCUCUCCGACGCCCGCCGCUUCGCCCAGUCGCCGGUCGCGACAGGAUGGAUUCCCGCGCCCUCCUCCCCAAUCGCAGCGGAAACCCCUCUGCAACCCUUUCUGCCUCGCCUCGUCUCGCUCGCACCCUCGCCGGCCGCACCAAGGUGCCCCGUCACUGCCGUGGCAGAGUUUUGCCACUGCUGCGUCAGACCGCCUCGCAACGCACGCCCA